ACCUGAGGCUGGUGUGCUGCUGCAAGCUGCAGUUUUCUUCUGCUAUCAGCCUCAGGGAAAUCUGGCCAUCUCUGAAGAAAGUAUGAGCUGGAGCACAGCGCUGGGACUCUCUGUGAAGUAAACUAUGAGAAUCACCAGCCAGGGAAGUCCUUUGGGAUCUAUCAAGACUUCCUAACAGUGUGACAACACUUGUAAGAUAUAUUAAGGAUUGUUAUUUUGUAAAAAUUCAAAUGUUCUAUUUGCUAUCCAUACUGAUGGAUACUGAUACUUCCAUGCUCAGCAGCUUCCCAAGCAAGCAGGAGGGCUGGCAGGGGCAGCAGAAGCCUCUGACUCCAUGGUGUGGGGGUCAGCCAUGCCCCAGGACUGUAGGAGUGAUGUCAGCUUUGUGGGUGAAUAUGGGAGUCCCAUAAUUCACUCUAGGGAUGAUGUGAGAUGGGCUCUUCAGAGUUAGAUUCCCGAGUGAUAGGUGAUAGCAGCUGGGCAGAGUCACCUCAAUGUAGAGGAUGGAUUUCAGCUGCUGCCAAAUGGACAGCAUGGAAACAAGGUUCAUUUGCAAGACGAAGAAGUUUUUAUAGGCAAUACCUAGGAAAUUAACUUCAGCUGGGUUGAAGUACUGUCAUUUGGUGAAUCUUGGGUUUUCUUUGUUUCAGUAAAGUCGAUAUUGGAGAUUUAAUUCCAGUGACUCCUGAGAGCUUGUCUUUCAGGCAUUUUCCUCAUGUAAAUGCCCAGAUUGAAAGCUUUGUUUCAGGAAUAUGGAUGCUGCCCAAAUGUAUCCGCAUGGUUCCAAUUAAGGGGAGGAAUGUUUAAUGUAAAACUCAACUUGAUGAAAAUAACUGAAGUUUCUGACAAACCAAUAAAUUGGAGUCUAGAAAGCUCUGCGUACACAGUACAGUCAGGGAGGGGCAACACCCGCUGGGUCAUCAAUUUUGGUGAAGACUUCCUGUUCGUUUAUACUAAAAUAAUACUAGGUCAGUCCAUAAACCAGAUGGUAUUUCUUAUUGCACGGGGACAGCAGAGAGAAGAUAAUGCAGAAAGAAAACAGACUGUGUUUGUACUUUCUAUUGUUGAAAUACUAUCAACAAGGUCUGUGUAUAUAAACUAUUUCUACACUUUGGAAGACACUUUCUGUUGAUAUUCCAGAACUUUAAAUUGAUAUUUAAUGGAUAGUUUGAAAGUUUUUUGUGUUAUCUUUAUCUUGUGAGAAUAAACUUUACAUGGUGCUUGAUAAGCUCA
rnacentral:lncRNA from 1 species